UAUUGCACAAUGGAGGAAACUCUGAUGCAGCGACGCCGCGUGAAGGAAGAAGGCUUUCGGGUUGUAAACUUCUUUUAUCAGGGACGAAACAAGUGACGGUACCUGAUGAAUAAGCCACGGCUAACUACGUGCCAGCAGCCGCGGUAAUACGUAGGUGGCGAGCGUUAUCCGGAUUUACUGGGUGUAAAGGGCGUGUAGGCGGGAAUGCAAGUCAGAUGUGAAAACUAUGGGCUCAACCCAUAGCCUGCAUUUGAAACUGUAUUUCUUGAGUGCUGGAGAGGCAAUCGGAAUUCCGUGUGUAGCGGUGAAAUGCGUAGAUAUACGGAGGAACACCAGUGGCGAAGGCGGAUUGCUGGACAGUAACUGACGCUGAGGCGCGAAAGCGUGGGGAGCAAACAGG
rnacentral:rRNA from 1 species